rnacentral:rRNA from 1 species
AUGUAUGGAAUUGCGCCCGGAAAUACACAUGCUUUGCUUUUUGAAAUCACAAAAAUGGUAGAAUCAUACAUGCGGCAGGCAAAUUUGGUUUUGCCACCUGGAUACGAUGUUACCUGGUUUUGUAACCAGUUUCUGGGCGUGGAUUCUUUUAAGGAUCUAAAGGAUACUUUCGUAGAUUUACAUUUCAAGGGGCGCGAAAGCUUAACUUGGAACACGGGCUUUGUUAAUUUUUAUAACGAAAUAUGGAGGGCCGAAGACUCCCCGCCGGGUAGCGCUGGAGGUGGAAAGUCAGUGCCAAAUGCAUGA